rfam:Asian citrus Psyllid, Diaphorina citri - Florida Strain, whole genome shotgun sequence.
GCCAGCGGCAAUUGAAAGCUGAAUAUACCCAUUUCCCAAAGGAUCACUGAUGUUAAGCACCGUUCCGCGUGGUUAGUACCCGGAUGGGUGACCAUCUGGGCAAUCGCAUGCUGCUGGCU